rnacentral:precursor_RNA from 2 species
CUACUCCCUGAACAUUUACAUAUAGCUGUAUAUAUGUAUCUCUAUCUCUCUAGUAGCCUUCUUGUCCUUUGCUUCAACUGUGUGUAUAUGCCUAGUAGCUAGCUAGCUUGUGUAUGCAUCAAUAGUCAUCACUAGUUCACUAUAUUUAUCUACAUGGAGCAUAUGGAAGGAAAGAGAGAAACAUGUGUUGUACCUAUAUCUCCCUUUCUGUUCUCUUGGUUAUUACUAUCUUGCACUGUGAUGUUUGCAUGUGUGUUUAUUUACACUGGAUGAGAUGAUGAGGUUGAGAGGUUUGUUCAGAAGCUGUGUAGUGUGUGCCUGGCUCCCUGUAUGCCACACAUGUAGACCAACCCAUGGUGUCUGGUUGCCUACUGGGUGGCGUGCAAGGAGCCAAGCAUGCAUGCCUGCCUGCAUAUGGUUGCUUGACAUAUCCAUUAAUUCCAGCUUCUUUUUUAAGUGUCAUUUGAUGUAGUAUACAUAUAUUUGUGUAUGUAUGUGUUCAUGUGUAAGUUUUUCGUGCCUUUACAUCUUUGAUCUUAAUUUGGUGUGGUUCUAAUUAAUUGCAUGUGCAAGAAGGAUGUGUUUCAUCUUCAUUCCUCACUGACCAAGUUUGAUUAUUUUGGAAUACUU